rnacentral:antisense_RNA from 1 species
GUUUAUGGGUGGGCCAUGGUGGGGAGGCGCUCGCGCCUGCCGGUUUCCUAGAACGCCGGUCUGCUAACCCCGCUAUGUGCCUGCCCACCCGU